UACGGCCACAUCAUGUUGAAACAUCGGUUCCCGUACGAUCACUGAAGUUAAGCAACGUCGAACCUGGUCAGUACCUAAAUAGGUGACGGCUUGGGAAUACCAGGUGCUGUAAG